AUUGAACGCUGGCGGCAGGCCUAACACAUGCAAGUCGAGCGGAUGAGUGGAGCUUGCUCCAUGAUUCAGCGGCGGACGGGUGAGUAAUGCCUAGGAAUCUGCCUGGUAGUGGGGGACAACGUUUCGAAAGGAACGCUAAUACCGCAUACGUCCUACAGGAGAAAGUGGGGGAUCUUCGGACCUCACGCUAUCAGAUGAGCCUAGGUCGGAUUAGCUAGUUGGUGAGGUAAAGGCUCACCAAGGCGACGAUCCGUAACUGGUCUGAGAGGAUGUCCGGUCAAACUCGAACGAAGUCACGGUCAAUACUCCUACGGGAGGCGGGCUUGGGGAAUAUUGGAAAAUGGGUGGAAGCCUGAUCCCGCCAUGCCGCGUGUGUGAAGAAGGUCUUCGUAUUGUAAAGCACUUUAAGUUGGGAGGAAGGGCAGUAAGUUAAUACCUUGCUGUUUUGACGUUACCAACAUAAUAAGCGCCGUCUACCUUCGUGACAGCAGCCGCCGUAACAC
rnacentral:rRNA from 1 species